CGAGGAACAACUAGAGGACAAGUCCGGUGCCAGCACCCGCGGUAAUUCCGGCUCUAGUAGCGUAUAUUAAAGUUGUUGCAGUUAAAAAGCUCGUAGUCGGAUUUCGGGUCGCGCUGUGAAGGCCUACCGAAAGGUGGGACGGAUAGUGUGGCCUUAACCUCUGAUGUGCUCUCUGCUCUUAACUGAGCGGAUCUGUCGCACAGGGGCGUUUACCUUGAGCAAAUUGGAGUGUUCAAGGCAGGCAAUAUUGCUCGUACACGUUAGCAUGGGAUAAUAGAAUAUGGCUUGGGUCUACUCGCCGGUUGAUGGGCCUAGGCAAUGGUCAAUAGGGGCGGUCGGGGUGCUUCAUAUGCAGGCGCUAGAGGUGAAAUUCUUGGACCGUCUGCAGAUGCCCAGAUGCGAAAGCGUUGCACCAGUACGUCCCCACAGUACGUCCCCAUUGAUCAAGAACGAAAGUUAAGGGAGCGAAGACGAUCAGAUACCGUCGUAGUCUUAACCCUAAACGAUACCGACCAGGGAUCGAAGAUAGUCCCAUGGUUGACUCCUUCGGAACCUUGUGGGAAACCACGAGUCUUUGGGUUCUGGGGGGAAUAUGGUCGCAAGGCUGAAACUUAAAGGAAUUGACGGAAGGGCACACCAGGAGUGGAGCCUGCGGCUUAAUUUGACUCAACACGGGGAAACUCACUCGGUCAGGACAUAGUAAGGAUUGACAGGUUGACGGUCCUUUCUUGAUUCUAUGGGUGGUGGUGCAUGGUCGUUCUUAGUUCGUGGAGUGAUCUGUCUGGUUAAUUCCGCUAACGGACGAGACCUCUCCUUAUUAACUAGUGCGGUUCGCGGCCGUAAGGGUGAAGCAGUGGAGCUGGUUGGGACCUCGGUUCUGACUGCUUAGCUGUGGAACCUGGCGUGCGGAUUGCUUACUUCUUAGGGGUACAAUCUGCGUUUUAGCAGAGGGGAGCUAGAGGCAAUAACAGGUCUGUGAUGCCCUUAGAUGUUCGAGGCUGCACGCGCGCUACAC
rnacentral:rRNA from 1 species